rnacentral:rRNA from 1 species
GAUGAACGCUAGCUACAGGCUUAACACAUGCAAGUCGAGGGGCAGCAUGACGAUAGCUUGCUAUUGUUGAUGGCGACCGGCGCACGGGUGAGUAACGCGUAUCCAACCUGCCCUUGUCCACCGGAUAACCCGUCGAAAGGCGGACUCACACGGUAUGCAGUUCUCAGCGGGCAUCUAACGAGAACGAAGUGUAAAGGAGAAGGAUGGGGAUGCGUCUGAUUAGCUUGUUGGCGGGGUAACGGCCCACCAAGGCGACGAUCAGUAGGGGUUCUGAGAGGAAGGUCCCCCACAUUGGAACUGAGACACGGUCCAAACUCCUACGGGAGGCAGCAGUGAGGAAUAUUGGUCAAUGGGCGAGAGCCUGAACCAGCCAAGUAGCGUGCAGGAAGACGGCCCUAUGGGUUGUAAACUGCUUUUAUACGGGGAUAAAGUGGGUCACGUGUGGCUUAUUGCAGGUACCGUAUGAAUAAGGACCGGCUAAUUCCGUGCCAGCCGCCGCCGUAA